GUUGCUGGUGUUGACACCCUAGGGUCAAGCCUUUCUCCUUUUCUCAAGGAUGGAGACGAGUGGGUCCAGAUGUACAGCCUGCUUCCCAAGUGGCCAUCCUAUGCUGAACCCUCCAGUCAUCACAGCUUCCCCAGGAGAGAGAUCACGAGGGGAUUUCCUUGAGGCUGAACAUGAAGAUGGAGAGGAGCACCCAGGAUGGGAUUUGGGGGCUCCAGAGUUGAGAACUGCCGCCAGCUGAUGCCAGCAAGGAGGUGGGGACCAGAUUCUGGCCCUUCUAACAGGACGGGACCACAGGAGGAAUUCUGUGCUCGUUCUCUGCAGUGACAUUGUGUAACUCGAGCUAAUCUACAAGGGGACCAGCCAUCCAUUUCACGUGGACAGUGAAGCGCCUGCUGCCGAAACUCCAUGACUGCCAUUUGUUACCGACAUAGAGAACACUGCCUUACACAAUCAUAAGAGAGUUUUCCGGAAAAAAAAAAAAAAAAAUUGGGGUUGAUGAAUUGCUUUCAAAUAUGUAUCUGAUUAAACAAAAAGAAAAUUAGAAAAUCUCUCUGCAUUGCCUAUUUUGGAGUGUAAGGGAUUGUUUAUCUAUAUGUGGGUUAUUUUCAAAUAUCUGUUGAUAUUGAUCUCUAACAUAAUUCCACAGUGAUAAAAGAACAGACUCUGUAUGAUUUCAAUACUUUUAGACCAUAAAAUUUUUGCACUUGGGCUUAUGUCCCCGGAUAUGUUCCAGGGUCUUCUAGUUUAUAGUCUAUAGGAACUUGAAUAGCGUUUGUAUCCUACUGUUGUGUGAAAAUUGCAUAAGUCCUAAUUAUGUUGAAUGGGUUCAUAGUGCUUUUCGGGUCUACUAUAUCCUUCUAUGUCUCUGUAUAUUCAUUCUAUUAAUUUUUGAGUGUUUGAUAUUGAA